AAGCCUGACGGAGCAACGCCGCGGGAGGAUGAAGGUCUUCGGAUCGUAAAACUCUGUUAUUAGGGAAGAACAAACGUGUAAGUAACUGUGCACGUCUUGACGGUACCUAAUCAGAAAGCCACGGCUAACUACGUGCCAGCAGCCGCGGUAAUACGUAGGUGGCAAGCGUUAUCCGGAAUUAUUGGGCGUAAAGCGCGCGUAGCCGGUUUUUUAAGUCUGAUGUGAAAGCCCACGGCUCAACCGUGGAGGGUCAUUGGAAACUGGAAAACUUGAGUGCAGAAGAGGAAAGUGGAAUUCCAUGUGUAGCGGUGAAAUGCGCAGAGAUAUGGAGGAACACCAGUGGCGAAGGCGACUUUCUGGUCUGUAACUGACGCUGAUGUGCGAAAGCGUGGGGAUCAACCAGGAUUAGAUACCCUGGUAGUCCACCCCGUAAACGAUGAGUGCUAAGUGUUAGGGGGUUUCCGCCCCUUAGUGCUGCAGCUAACGCAUUAAGCAUUCCGCCUGGGGAGUACGACCGCAAGGUUGAAACUCAAAGGAAUUGACGGGGACCCGCCCAAGCGGUGGAGCAUGUGGUUUAAUUCGAAGCAACGCGAAGAACCUUACCAAAUCUUGACAUCCUUUGACCUUUCUAGAGAUAGAAGUUUCCCUUUCGGGGGACAAAGUGACAGGUGGUGCAUGGUUGUCGUCAGCUCGUGUCGUGAGAUGUUGGGUUAAGUCCCGCAACGAGCGCAACCCUUAAGCUUAGUUGCCAUCAUUAAGUUGGGCACUCUAAGUUGACUGCCGGUGACAAACCGGAGGAAGGUGGGGAUGACGUCAAAUCAUCAUGCCCCUUAUGAUUUGGGCUACACACGUGCUACAAUGGACAAUACAAAGGGCAGCGAAACCGCGAGGUCAAGCAAAUCCCAUAAAGUUGUUCUCAGUUCGGAUUGUAGUCUGCAACUCGACUACAUGAAGCUGGAAUCGCUAGUAAUCGUAGAUCAGCAUGCUACGGUGAAUACGUUCCCGGGUCUUGUACACACCGCCCGUCACACCACGAGAGUUUGUAACACCCGAAGCCGGUGGAGUAACCAUUUGGAGCUAGCCGUCGAAG
rnacentral:rRNA from 1 species